UAGAGUUUGAUCCUGGCUCAGAUUGAACGCUGGCGGCAGGCCUAACACAUGCAAGUCGAGCGCGAAAGUACUUCGGUAUGAGUAGAGCGGCGGACGGGUGAGUAACGCGUAGGAAUCUACCUGGUAGUGGGGGACAACUCGGGGAAACUCGAGCUAAUACCGCAUACGCCCCAAGGGGGAAAGCGGGGGAUCUUCGGACCUCGCGCUAUCAGAUGAGCCUGCGUUGGAUUAGCUAGUUGGUGGGGUAAAGGCCUACCAAGGCGACGAUCCAUAGCUGGUCUGAGAGGAUGAUCAGCCACACCGGGACUGAGACACGGCCCGGACUCCUACGGGAGGCAGCAGUGGGGAAUAUUGCGCAAUGGGCGAAAGCCUGACGCAGCCAUGCCGCGUGUGUGAAGAAGGCCUUCGGGUUGUAAAGCACUUUCAAUUGGGAGGAAAGGCUGACGGUUAAUACCCGUCAGCUGUGACGUUACCUUUAGAAGAAGCACCGGCUAACUCCGUGCCAGCAGCCGCGGUAAUGCGGAGGGUGCGAGCGUUAAUCGGAAUUACUGGGCGUAAAGCGCGCGUAGGUGGUCUGUUAAGUCGGAUGUGAAAGCCCCGGGCUCAACCUGGGAACUGCACCCGAUACUGGCCGACUAGAGUGCGAGAGAGGGAGGUAGAAUUCCACGUGUAGCGGUGAAAUGCGUAGAU
rnacentral:rRNA from 1 species